UACGAAGGGGGCUAGCGUUGCUCGGAAUCACUGGGCGUAAAGGGUGCGUAGGCGGGUCUUUAAGUCAGGGGUGAAAUCCUGGAGCUCAACUCCAGAACUGCCUUUGAUACUGAAGAUCUUGAGUUCGGGAGAGGGAAGCGGAAUUCCGGGUGUAGCGGUGAAAUGCGUAGAUAUCCGGAGGAACACCGGUGGCGAAGGCGGCUUCCUGGACCGACACUGACGCUGAGGCGCGAAAGCGUGGGGAGCAAACAGG
rnacentral:rRNA from 1 species